CCUACGGGUGGCAGCAGUAGGGGAUCUUGCACAAUGGGGGAAACCCUGACGCAGCGACGCCGCGUGAGUGAAGAAGUAUUUCGGUUUGUAAAGCUCUAUUAGCAGGGAAGAAAAUGACAGUACCUGAACAAGUAGCCCCGGCUAACUACGUGCCAGCAGCCGCGGUAAUACGUAGGGGCCAAGCGUUAUCCGGAUUUGCUGGGGGUAAAGGGUGCGUAGACGGGUAUGUAAGUCUGGAGUGAAAGCCCGGGGCCCAACCCUGAGACUGCUUUGGAAACUGUGUAACUGGAGUACAGGAGGGGCAGGCGGAAUUCCUGGUGUAGCGGUGAAAUGCGUAGAUAUCAGGAGGAACACCGGCGGCGAAGGCGGCCUGCUGGACUGAAACUGACGUUGAGGCUCGAAAGCGUGGGGAGCAAACAGGAUUAGAUACCCGGGUAGUC
rnacentral:rRNA from 1 species